rnacentral:rRNA from 1 species
CCUACGGGAGGCAGCAGUGGGGAAUAUUGGACAAUGGGGGGAACCCUGAUCCAGCCAUGCCGCGUGUGUGAAGAAGGCCCUCGGGUUGUAAAGCACUUUCAGUGAGGAAGAACGCCUGGUAGUUAAUACCCAUCAGGAAAGACAUCACUCACAGAAGAAGCACCGGCUAACUCCGUGCCAGCAGCCGCGGUAAUACGGAGGGUGCGAGCGUUAAUCGGAAUUACUGGGCGUAAAGCGCGCGUAGGUGGCUUGAUAAGCCGGUUGUGAAAGCCCCGGGCUCAACCUGGGAACGGCAUCCGGAACUGUCAAGCUAGAGUGCAGGAGAGGAAGGUAGAAUUCCCGGUGUAGCGGUGAAAUGCGUAGAGAUCGGGAGGAAUACCAGUGGCGAAGGCGGCCUUCUGGACUGACACUGACACUGAGGUGCGAAAGCGUGGGUAGCAAACAGGAUUAGAUACCCUAGUAGUC